rnacentral:rRNA from 1 species
AUUGAACGCUGGCGGCAUGCCUUACACAUGCAAGUCGAACGGCAGCACGGGAGCAAUCCUGGUGGCGAGUGGCGAACGGGUGAGUAAAGUAUCGGAACGUGCCCAGUCGUGGGGGAUAACGUAGCGAAAGUUACGCUAAUACCGCAUACGAUCUAUGGAUGAAAGCGGGGGAUCGCAAGACCUCGCGCGAUUGGAGCGGCCGAUAUCAGAUUAGGUAGUUGGUGGGGUAAAGGCUCACCAAGCCGACGAUCUGUAGCUGGUCUGAGAGGACGACCAGCCACACUUGGACUGAGACACGGCCCAGACUCCUACGGGAGGCAGAAGUGGGGAAUUUUGGACAAGGGGCGAAAGCCUGAUCCAGCCAUGCCGCGUGCAGGAUGAGGGCCUUCGGGUUGUAAACUGCUUUUGUACGGAACGAAAAGGUUUGGCCUAAUAAGCUGAGCUCAUGACGGUACCGUAAGAAUAAGCACCGGCUAACUACGUGCCAGCCGCCGCGGUAA